GACGAACGCUGGCGGCGUGCUUAACACAUGCAAGUCGAACGGAAAGGCCCUGCUUUUGCUGGGUGCUCGAUUGGCGAACGGGUGAGUAACACGUGUGUAACCUGCCCUUGACUUUGGGAUAACUUCAGGAAACUGGGGCUAAUACCGGAUAGGAUCUCCUGCUGCACGGUGGGGGUUGGAAAGUUUCGGCGGUUGGGGAUGGACUCGCGGCUUAUCAGCUUGUUGGUGGGGUAGUGGCUUACCAAGGCUUUGACGGGUAGCCGGCCUGAGAGGGUGACCGGCCACAUAGGGACUGAGGUACGGCACAGACUCGUAAGGGAGGGAGCAGUGGGGAAUAUUGCAGAAUGGGCGGAAGCCUGAUGCAGCAACGCCGCGUGCGGGAUGACGGCCUUAGGGUUGUAAACCGAUUUCGCAUGUGACGAAGCGUGAGUGACGGUAAUGGGUAAAGAAGCACCGGCUAAAUAAGUG
rnacentral:rRNA from 1 species